GCACGGAUAGCCGAGUGGUCUUAGCGAUAGACUUUUACUUUAUGGGUCCAGGGGUAAAUGGUUCGAGCCCAGUUGAGUGUU
rnacentral:tRNA from 1 species